GGUUGUGGCUCAGUGGUAGAGAGCUCGCCUAACACAUGUGAGGCCCUGGGUUUGAUCCUCAGAACCA
rnacentral:tRNA from 1 species